rnacentral:rRNA from 1 species
ACAGCAGUAGCCGCGGUAAUACGUAGGGGGCAAGCGUUAUCCGGAAUUACUGGGUGUAAAGGGAGCGUAGACGGUUAAACAAGUCUGAAGUGAAAUGCCGGGGCUCAACCCCGGAGCUGCUUUGGGAACUGUAGAACUGGAGUGUCGGAGGGGUAAGCGGAAUUCCCAGUGUAGCGGUGAAAUGCGUAGAUAUUGGGAGGAACACCGGCGGCGAAGGCGGCUUACUGGACGACAACUGACGUUGAGGCUCGAAAGCGUGGGGAGCGAACAGGAUUAGAUACCCCAGUAGUCCCUGUCUCUUAUAC